CGUGUAGGCGGCUUGGCAAGUCGGAUGUGAAAGCCCUCGGCUUAACCGAGGAAGUGCGUUCGAAACUGCCUGGCUUGAGUACCGGAGAGGGUGGCGGAAUUCCCGGUGUAGAGGUGAAAUUCGUAGAUAUCGGGAGGAACACCAGCGGCGAAGGCGGCCACCUGGACGGAUACUGACGCUGAGACGCGAAAGCGUGGGGAGCAAACAGGAUUAGAUACCCUGGUAGUCCACGCUGUAAACGAUGAGCGCUAGGUGUUGCGGGUGUUGACCCCUGCAGUGCCGCAGCUAACGCAUUAAGCGCUCCGCCUGGGAAGUACGGCCGCAAGGCUAAA
rnacentral:rRNA from 1 species